GCCAGCCUGGCGGAAUCCGGCAGACGCACCCGUUUCAAACGCGGCCGCCCCCUGGGCGUGAGGGUUCAAGUCCCUCGGCUGGCACCA
rnacentral:tRNA from 1 species